rnacentral:rRNA from 1 species
AGAGUUUGAUCCUGGCUCAGGACGAACGCUGGCGGCGUGCCUAACACAUGCAAGUCGAACGGAGAAUUUCAAUAAGCUUGCUUAGCGAAAUUUUUAGUGGCGGACGGGUGAGUAACGCGUGGGUAACCUACCCAUAAAGCCGGGACAACCCUUGGAAACGAGGGCUAAUACCGGAUAAUCUUAAAGCUUGGCAUCAAGUUUUAAGGAAAGGUGGCCUCUGAGUAUGCUACCGAUUAUGGAUGGACCCGCGUCUGAUUAGCUAGUUGGUGGGGUAAAGGCCUACCAAGGCGACGAUCAGUAGCCGGCCUGAGAGGGUGAACGGCCACACUGGGACUGAGACACGGCCCAGACUCCUACGGGAGGCAGCAGUGGGGAAUCUUCCGCAAUGGACGAAAGUCUGACGGAGCAACGCCGCGUGUAUGAUGAAGGUCUUCGGAUUGUAAAGUACUGUCUUUGGGGAAGAAUGACUGGUUUGAAAAUAUUGAGUCAGUAUGACGGUACCCAAGGAGGAAGCCCCGGCUAACUACGUGCCAGCAGCCGCGGUAAUACGCAGGGGGCAAGCGUUGUCCGGAAUUAUUGGGCGUAAAGGGCGCGUAGGCGGAUAGUUAAGUCCGGUGUGAAAGAUCAGGGCUCAACCCUGAGAGUGCAUCGGAAACUGGUUAUCUUGAGGACAGGAGAGGAAAGUGGAAUUCCACGUGUAGCGGUGAAAUGCGUAGAUAUGUGGAGGAACACCAGUGGCGAAGGCGACUUUCUGGACUGUAACUGACGCUGAGGCGCGAAAGCGUGGGGAGCAAACAGGAUUAGAUACCCUGGUAGUCC